rnacentral:rRNA from 1 species
AGUGAACGCUGGCGGUAGGCUUAACACAUGCAAGUCGAACGGCAGCACAGUAAGAGCUUGCUCUUACGGGUGGCGAGUGGCGGACGGGUGAGGAAUACAUCGGAAUCUACUUUUUCGGGGGGGAUAACGAAGGGAAACUUACGCUAAUACCGCAUACGACCUACGGGUGAAAGCAGGGGAACUUCGGACCUUGCGCGGUUGAAUGAGCCGAUGUCGGAUUAGCUAGUUGGCGGGGUAAAGGCCAACCAAGGCGACGAUACGUAGCUGGUCUGGGAGGAUGGUCGGCCACACUGGAACUGAGACACGGUCCAUAGUCCUACGGGAGGCAGCAGUGGCGAAUGUUGGGCAAUGGGCGCAAGCCUGAUCCAGCCAUACCGCGUGGGUGAAGAAGGCCUUCGGGGUGUAAAGCCCUUUUGUUAGGAAAGAAAAGCAGCAGGUUAAUACCCCGCUGUUCUGACGGUACCCAAAGAAUAAGCACCGGCUAACUUCGUG